AGCAUAUCAAUAAGCGGAGGAAAAGAAACUAACCAGGAUUCCCCUAGUAACUGCGAGUGAAGCGGGAAGAGCUCAAAUUUGUAAUCUGGCGGUCUUGCGGCCGUCCGAGUUGUAAUCUGGAGAAGCGCUUUCUGUGCCGGUCCCGUGUACAAGUCCCUUGGAACGGGGCGUCGUAGAGGGUGAGAAUCCCGUUCACGACACGGUGUUGCCGGUGCUCUGUGAUGCGCUCUCGAAGAGUCGAGUUGUUUGGGAAUGCAGCUCAAAACGGGUGGUAAAUUCCAUCUAAAGCUAAAUAUUGGCGAAAGACCGAUAGCGAACAAGUACCGUGAGGGAAAGAUGAAAAGCACUUUGGAAAGAGAGUCAAACAGUACGUGAAAUUGUUGAAAGGGAAACGCUUGAAGUCAGUCGCGUCUCUCGGGACUCAGUCGGGCGCUCGCGCGCUCGACGCAUUUCCCGUUGUCGGACGGGCCAGCAUCGAUUUCGACCUGUCGGAGAAAGGUACGAGGAAUGUGGCACCUCCGGGUGUGUUAUAGCCUCGCAUCGUAUGCGUCGGUCGGGAUCGAGGAACGCAGCGCGCCCCCUCUCGAGGGGGCCGGGGGUCAUCCCACGGUUACGCGCUUUGGAUGCUGGCGUAAUGGCUUUAAACGACCCGUCUUGAAACACGGACCAAGGAGUCUAACAUGCGUGCGAGUGUUUGGGUGGCAAACCCAUGCGCGUAAUGAAAGUGAAAGGUCGGGACCUCUGUCGCGGAGGGCACCGACGCCCGGACCUGAACUACUGUGACGGUUCCGAGGCAGAGCAUGUAUGCUGGGACCCGAAAGAUGGUGAACUAUGCCUGAGCAGGGCGAAGCCAGAGGAAACUCUGGUGGAGGCUCGUAGCGAUUCUGACGUGCAAAUCGAUCGUCGAACUUGGGUAUAGGGGCGAAAGACUAAUCGAACCAUCUAGUAGCUGGUUCCUGCCGA
rnacentral:rRNA from 1 species